UCAAGCCCGUCGGAGCCAUAUUAUUGUGCACUUGAGGUAGACACUGACCAGAAGCCUUCUCUCUGGGCAGAGCUCACACUUCUGCACUAUGCCGGGGCUGGUGCCGGGAGCCGGAGAGGGACGUGAACGCGGGUCCCGAGGAAGAAGCGGGGCUCGGGGCCCCGCAGGGUUCCGACGGGGGUGCAGCUGCACUACGCGGCCGUUCCGGGGCGACAAGACGGCGCAGGGCCGCCCUUACCCCGGCCAGGUCCCGCGCCGCCGCCUCUUCUCCAGCGCUUGGAUACUUAUGGGUCCGGCAGGUCCCGCGGACUCAUUCAGAAUGAAGAAAGAAUCUGAAAGCCAUCAUAUGAAAAAAAACUAUUGACUGUUCUCUCUCAUUCAUACAACUGCCACCUAUGGGUCCACUGCACAGAAAAACGAGUAGUCCUUUGUGAUUCUCGAACAGUGGUUCUCAACUAGGAGUGGUUUCGUCCCCUUUCCCCCCAUGGAACAUCUGACAAUGUCUGGAGACAUUUUUGAACAUCAUGUUGCUACUGGCAUUCAACGAAUGAAGGCCGGAGAUGCUGUUAAACAUCUUAAAGCAAAGGACAGCCCCACAACAAAGAAUUUUCCAUCCCAAAAUGUUAGUAGUGCUGCUGUUG